rnacentral:rRNA from 1 species
AUGGCCACCUACUUCACGCUCAACACUGGGGCACGUAUCCCCUCGGUAGGCCUCGGCACCUACAAGUCCGGCCCCGGCGCCGUCGCCGGCGCUGUCACGGCCGCCGUCAAGGCCGGGUACCGGCACAUCGACUGCGCGCCGCUGUACAAGAACGAGAAGGAGAUUGGCGUCGCGUUGAACAAGCUCUUCGACGACGACGGCGUCAGACGACAGGACCUCUUCAUCACUUCGAAAAUAUGGUGCAGCGAUCUCGCGCCCGAAGACGUUCCGUCGGCAAUCGACGCCACUCUGAAUGAUCUGCAGCUGGAUUAUCUUGACCUGCACCUGAUUCACUGGCCCUUUCAGAUAAGGAAAGGCAGUGAGCUGAGCCCUGAUAACUUUGUCGAGCUCGAUAUGCCCGAGACCUGGCGGGCAAUGGAGAAGCUGUACGAUUCAGGCAAGGCCCGCGCAAUAGGUGUGAGCAAUUUUUCGACCAAGAAGCUGGCCGAUCUGCUUGCCGUGGCCCGUGUUCCUCCGGCUGUUGAUCAGGUGGAGUGCCACCCUGGUUGGCAGCAGGCCAAGCUCAGAGCAUUCUGCCACACCAAUGGAGUUCAUUUCUCUGCGUACGCGCCGCUAGGCAGGAUGAAAGUCGUCGCGGAUAACCCGGUGGUGACAUCGAUAGCAGAGAGCUUGGGGAGAACCCCGGCACAGAUCGUUCUGCGAUGGGGUAUCCAGCAGGGUCAGAGCGUGCUUCCGAAAACUACCAAUGAGUCGAGGUUGAAGGAGAACAUUGACCUGUUUGGCUGGUCCAUUCCUGACGAACUGUGUGACAAGUUUUCUAAAAUUGAACAGGUUAAGCGAAUCAGGAACGAAUCAUUGGUGGACUCUCAGAGUAUUUACAAAACAAUUGACGAGCUCUGGGAUGGUGAGAUAUAA